CAGUAGCCGCGGGAAUACGAGGGGGGCAAGCGUUGUUCGGAAUUAUUGGGCGUAAAGGGUGCGUAGGCGGUCUGAUAAGUUUUAUGUGAAAUCUCUGGGCUCAACCCAGAGUCUGCAUGGGAAACUGUCAGGCUUGAGAAUGGGAGAGGUGAGUGGAAUUUCCGGUGUAGCGGUGAAAUGCGUAGAUAUCGGAAGGAACACCUGUGGCGAAAGCGGCUCACUGGACCAUUUCUGACGCUGAUGCACGAAAGCUAGGGGAGCAAACAGGAUUAGAUACCCCGGUAGUCCCUGUCUCUUAUAC
rnacentral:rRNA from 1 species